UACGUAGGGUGCGAGCGUUGUCCGGAAUUAUUGGGCGUAAAGGGCUCGUAGGCGGUUUGUCGCGUCGGGAGUGAAAACCUCGGGCUUAACUCGGGGCUUGCUUUCGAUACGGGCAGACUGGAGGUAUGCAGGGGAGAACGGAAUUCCUGGUGUAGCGGUGAAAUGCGCAGAUAUCAGGAGGAACACCAGUGGCGAAGGCGGCUCACUGGACUGGUACUGACGCUGAGGAGCGAAAGCCAGGGGAGCAAACGGG
rnacentral:rRNA from 1 species